AUGUCUCAGUGUACCACCAUCUCCUAUGUUAUGGCCGCUACUUCUUCCAUCCGGUAACUUUUUCUAUGGACUCAUAUCAAAUUAACUGGAAGAUAAUUUUUGGUUCCAUUUGAAGUUUCUUCAUAGAAGUCAAUGUAUUAAUAGAAUAUAUAUACCCUCAUUCUAGCGACUGUAUUGGUGAUUUCUGAGUAGUCCAGAGUACCAAUAUCACGAGCAAUACAUGAUAGGGUUUGUUCAGACCAUAGAUGUAACGGCACACCUUGUACCUGAAUCCAGAAUGGGAUCUGGCUUGGGAAGGUUGGAGAGAACGAGGGCUCCCAUCUUUGAAUGAUAAUCAUCCAAUGUGAUAUGGUUGGUUUUCCAGAACUUUCAAGAGAUCUCUUUCUGACGCAAACUGGAAUUGGAAGCAGCCUUGGCCCAAGUCUGCACCUAUAGGUCGAGAUUCGCACUUCCAGUGGUCAGAGAGGAAGGUAUGAGGGACCAGACUUGCUGACUUUAGGGUUUGUUAGUCUACCCACCAGCGUAAGAGCAUGCUUUCUGAUAAGUUCUGAUGUGUCGAAAGAGGGGAUUCUGACUCUAGCUGUUCGUGGGGGAAGAGGUGGCUCCACUGGACCUUUCCCUUUCUCUGCAUAGGAGAGUCUUCGAUGCAUAACUUCUCACACGGAUCAGAAGAGUAAUGGUUAUAGACAGGUGUGGAGUAAGAGAAGAUGAUUCUUCCUGUCAAGACAAAAGAGGGUUGGGAGCUGUUUGAAAAUGCUUUUUCUAGGAUCUGAUUCUUCAAGUAGAGAGAUAGAUCUUGGACUGCAUGGUAGUUGAAACAGUUUCAUGAGCUAUGCAUAAGGGUCGUCGCCGGUAAGGAUGAAGGGAGCAUCGGUCCCUCCGACCACGGGUCGGGGAAAGAACCCGGCGUGUAAGAGGCAGAGACUCGCUUGUAACUGAAGGAUAAUCCCAAAGAGGGAAAAUUUGAAAUAAUCAGCUUAAAACUCAGCGGUUAAAGCAGCUGUGCAGGGAAGGUUCCUUGGUUAACGGUUACUCUUGAGAAACGUGCCUUGGAGAGGAAAGCAUGUAUGAUGUAUAGAGUGUAGUGUUUAUUAUAUGAAGUUUUUUACAUUCCAGACAUUCGCUAGCCAGUCAGGAGCAGCAACUUGAUUUGUGGGAGCUUCAGCGGUGUGAGCUUCCGAUUGAAUCAGGAGUAGGCCCGAGACCUUUAGCGAUUGAAGAGCCUCUGGGGCCGGGCCCAUUGGUCUGACCUGUUCACAGUGUGAGAGCCAUGGGUCAUCCCAGACAUUAAUCUCCUCUCCUGUUCCGACCAUCCAGCCUAGUUGCUUCACCAGGAGGUCUCUACCAAUCAAGACACUUCUCCAGCCAUGCAAGGAUGAUGAUGUGGGUUGGCAUUUAAGGAAAGAUUCAGCUUGGCAGUACUUUCCAAGGAGACAGCGAGCUAGUAGACAUGUGGGAUUCUUUAUAAUCCUCCAUCCAAUCUUGGCCAGUAAGGCAUCAUUGAAGGUUCUGAAUCCCACCAGAAUCUUGUCAGUGUUGAUUGGAUGCACUCUUUAUAAUGGUUAGUCUACUAAUUUAGGGAUCAAUAUGAAGUUUUACUAGAUUAAUUGAUAAAAAAUUAGA